UACGGAGGGGGCCAGCGUUGUUCGGAAUCAUUGGGCGUAAAGGGCGCGUAGGCGGCUUUGCAAGUCGGAGGUGAAAUCCCUCGGCUCAACCGAGGAAUUGCCCCCGAAACUGCAUGGCUUGAGUCCCGGAGAGGGUAGCGGAAUUCCCAGUGUAGCGGUGAAAUGCGUAGAUAUUGGGAGGAACACCAGUGGCGAAGGCGGCUACCUGGACGGGUACUGACGCUGAGGCGCGAAAGCGUGGGGAGCAAACAGG
rnacentral:rRNA from 1 species